GAUGAGCGCUGGCGGCAUGCCUAACACAUGCAAGUCGAACGAAGCACAUGAGACAGCUUGCUGAGGAUUGUGACUUAGUGGCGAACGGGUGAGUAAUGCAUGAGCAACCUGCCCUUCAGUGGGGGACAACAGUUGGAAACGACUGCUAAUACCGCGUAACACUUCCGAAAGGCAUCUUUUGGAAGUCAAAGAUUUAUCGCUGAAGGAUGGGCUCAUGUCUGAUUAGCUAGUUGGUAGGGUAACGGCCUACCAAGGCGACGAUCAGUAGCCGGUCUGAGAGGAUGAACGGCCACAUUGGGACUGAGAUACGGCCCAG
rnacentral:rRNA from 1 species